AUAUACACAGGAAUUAAUGUUAAUUCGUGUGUACAAGCAGGUGCAUACAAUACAGUACACUAAUCAUUUCAAUUUGGUUGAAAAAAUACCAAACCCAGCCAUUCAUUCCUCAAGUAGCAACAGUGUAGCAAGGAAUAAUUUGGAAAGGAAAAUGGGUUAUCUACAGUAGCUUAGCUCAGUUCAAUACCUAAGCUAAAGAGCGAGCUAGUUUAGCUAUGUUGAGUCAUUGUAACACCAAUAGCCUAAUAAUAACUUGGCUGACCAGCUAUUUAGCCUAAGUUAGCCGCUAGCUAGCCAGCUUUGUCAGCAAAGGAAAACAAGCCAGCUAGUAAGGUUCAGCUUGAUAAACCAAAAGCAAACCUAAUGAAUGAAGAAAUACUAUCUGAGGGACUGAUUUCACAGACUGGUCAUGCUGAUGGUGGGAUUCAGUGUAGCUGUUAAGACAACUCCUAACAUAGCAAGAAGACCGUGUCGCGGUCUGAGUGACGAAAGAGCCACAAACUUUCAGCUGUCCCAUAAACAACAACUCCGCAAGAAACUUCAAUUCUUGGCUAAUUACCGUAGCGUUGACGUGACUCGAUUGCUCAAACUCCACGACUAUAUUAAUCCAGCUACUUGUCCGUUUAUAUUACAGUUACAAAUGGAUGUAAACUACUUUUUUCCUACACAUCUCUCCUCUUGUCUUUCAAUCAACCUCCCUAUGCGUUGUCCGCUGUUGCUUCUCCCUCUAUUCUAAACUGAGAGAUGAUCCUAGGGAUGUGUGUUCCCAUUGGACAAUGGUUGUCAUGUGGGUCGGGGUGUUCCUUCCUUAUAGAAGUUUGCGAGUUAGGUCAAAAAAUGAAUACAUCUUCAAUCUAGGAAGUUUGGCCUGUGAAGUUUUCAUAAAACUACUCUUAUUACAUCUCUAAGUAAUCGUAUACCAUAUCUUCAUGCCACUUUUUGAUAUUAGGUAGUAAUGCGAUUCUUGAUUAGCAACUUGAAAUUAGCAACUUGUAUCAUUUUGAUAUCGUUAGCUGAGACGCUAGUUGAUGUCGUCUUCACGCAGCAGGCACGUAAUGAUAAAAUAGUCAACAUCCGAUUCAGGAGCGGGCAUGGCUUUUUGCAAUGCUUGGUGGAUGAGUCUGGUGACAGCUUAGACGACGAGCCAUUGGUUAAGAUGAUCAGGAAGCCUCCAACAGACUGCCAGCUGAGCGAGAGAGAAACACUGCUGAAAUACACAGACCUGGCGGAUGUGCAAAUCUACAAUAGAGUGUUUGAGAUAUGCCCCCGGUAUGACCUGUCUAACAAGAAGGACAUCAUCAAGCAGACAGUGAAAGAGGGGAUUUCUUUACAACCCAGGGUUUUAAUCAAGCCAUAUUCAUAG
rnacentral:lncRNA from 8 species